rnacentral:lncRNA from 1 species
UUUGAAAACUGCAAUUGGGCCUACUAAGGAACCAUGAUAGUGUUUGGUACAUAGAGGACACUGGAAAUGGUUUUCUUAACUGAACAAGUGACUAGAAUAAAGGAAUUAAUGAACGACAUCAGAGCUGAAAUCCCAAACCAUAAAUCAUAAAAGGAUCAGACAGCAAAGGUAAGGAUAGUGUUUCUUGAACAGCUGUGUCAGUAUGUCCAUGAUCCUGAGAGGAGAAGGGAAAGUCUUGACUGACUAAAGUGAUGAUUCUGAACUGUGAAUAGACUCAAGAAUAUCACUGUUUUGCAUAAUCUAUUCUUUGAUAUCUAGUUUAGGGCCAAGAAGGAAUAUGUGUUCUUGAUAAUGACAACAGAUAUGUUUAUUGAUCGUAGCAAGACAUAUAAGAUAGCUGCUUGGCCAGAAAAGGAGGAGAGAGCUGAGCCUGGGGACCUGGUUAUGAGCAGGUGGUUUGUGUAGGUGGCUUUGGUACUUGGUUUAAAAUAUAGCUGGGUUCCUGG